CAACUCUAGAGAUAGAGCUUUCCCCUUCGGGGGACAAAGUGACAGGUGGUGCAUGGUUGUCGUCAGCUCGUGUCGUGAGAUGUUGGGUUAAGUCCCGCAACGAGCGCAACCCUUAAGCUUAGUUGCCAUCAUUAAGUUGGGCACUCUAAGUUGACUGCCGGUGACAAACCGGAGGAAGGUGGGGAUGACGUCAAAUCAUCAUGCCCCUUAUGAUUUG
rnacentral:rRNA from 1 species